rnacentral:rRNA from 1 species
AUGAACGCUGGCGGCAUGGAUUAGGCAUGCAAGUCGAACGGUGAGAUCCCCGCAAGGGGGUCGAUCAGUGGCGAAAGGGUGAGUAACGCGUGAGUAACCUGCCUCCGAGUUGGGCAUAGCCCCGGGAAACUGGGAUUAAUACCUGAUGAAGUCCUCGACCGCAUGGUCGGGUGACAAAAGGCGCAAGCCGCUCGGAGAGGGACUCGCGUCCCAUUAGCUAGUUGGUAGGGUAACGGCCUACCAAGGCUUUGACGGGUAGCUGGUCUGAGAGGAUGGUCAGCCACACUGGGACUGAGACACUGCCCAGACUCCUACGGGAGGCUGCAGUCGAGAAUCUUCCGCAAUGGGCGCAAGCCUGACGGAGCGAUGCCGCGUGAGGGAUGAAGGCCUUCGGGUUGUAAACCUCUGUCACCCGGGACGAAGUCAGUGACGGUACCGGGAGAGGAAGCCACGGCUAACUACGU